GGCGAACGCUGGCGGCGUGCUUAACACAUGCAAGUCGAACGGAAAGGCCCUGCUUUUGUGGGGUGCUCGAGUGGCGAACGGGUGAGUAGCACGUGAGUAACCUGCCCUUGACUUUGGGAUAACUUCAGGAAACUGGGGCUAAUACCGGAUAGGAGCUCCUGCUGCAUGGUGGGGGUUGGAAAGUUUCGGCGGUUGGGGAUGGACUCGCGGCUUAUCAGCUUGUUGGUGGGGUAGUGGCUUACCAAGGCUUUGACGGGUAGCCGGCCUGAGAGGGUGACCGGCCACAUUGGGACUGAGAUACGGCCCAGACUCCUACGGGAGGCAGCAGUGGGGAAUAUUGCACAAUGGGCGGAAGCCUGAUGCAGCAACGCCGCGUGCGGGAUGACGGCCUUCGGGUUGUAAACCGCCUUCGCCUGUGACGAAGCGUGAGUGACGGUAAUGGGUAAAGAAGCACCGGCUAACUACGUG
rnacentral:rRNA from 1 species